rnacentral:tRNA from 1 species
UCAGUUGGUUAGAAUACCGGCCUGUCACGCCGGGGGUCGCGGGUUCGAGUCCCGUCCACUCCG